GCCGCCUUAGCUCAGCUGGUAGAGCAUCGCAUUCGUAAUGCGGGGGUCACAGGUUCGAGUCCUGUAGGCGGCA
rfam:Erythrobacter marinus strain HWDM-33 contig1, whole genome shotgun sequence.